GACGAACGCUGGCGGCGUGCUUAACACAUGCAAGUCGAACGCUGAACCCGCUUCGGUGGGGGAUGAGUGGCGAACGGGUGUGUAACACGUGGGCAACCUGCCCCCGGCUCUGGGAUAACUCCAAGAAAUUGGGGCUAAUACCGGAUGUGACCGCUGGCCGCAUGGUCUGGUGGUGGAAAGGGUUUCCGGCUGGGGAUGGGCCCGCGGCCUAUCAGCUUGUUGGUGGGGUAGUGGCCUACCAAGGCGACGACGGGUAGCCGGCCUGAGAGGGUGACCGGCCACACUGGGACUGAGACACGGCCCAGACUCCUACGGGAGGCAGCAGUGGGGAAUAUUGCGCAAUGGGCGGAAGCCUGACGCAGCGACGCCGCGUGGGGGAUGACGGCCUUCGGGUUGUAAACCUCUUUCAGCAGGGACGAAGCGCAAGUGACGGUACCUGCAGAAGAAGCACCGGCCAACUACGUG
rnacentral:rRNA from 1 species